rnacentral:rRNA from 1 species
UACAGAGGUCUCAAGCGUUGUUCGGAUUCAUUGGGCGUAAAGGGUGUGUAGGUGGCGCGCUAAGUCGGGUGUGAAAUUUCGGAGCUUAACCCCGAAACUGCAUUCGAUACUGGCGUGCUUGAGGACUGGAGAGGAGACUGGAAUUUACGGUGUAGCAGUGAAAUGCGUAGAUAUCGUAAGGAAGACCAGUGGCGAAGGCGGGUCUCUGGACAGUUCCUGACACUGAGACACGAAGGCCAGGGGAGCAAACGGG